GGAACAUAGCUCAGUUGGUAGAGUGCUUGCCUCGCAUGCACAAGGUCCUGGGUUCAGUCCCCAGUACACCA
rnacentral:tRNA from 1 species